GUGCCAGCAGCCGCGGUAAUACAGAGACCCCGAGCAUUAUCCGGAUUUAUUGGGCGUAAAGCGUUCGUAGACGGUUUCGUAAGUCAUUUGUUAAAUCCUCAGGCUUAACUUGGGGGCUGCAGGUGAUACUGCGAGGCUUGAGUAUGGGAGAGGUAAGCGGAAUGCCCGGUGUAGCGGUAAAAUGCGUUAAUAUCGGGUAGAACACCAAAGGCGAAAGCAGCUUACUGGAACAUUACUGACGUUCAUGAACGAAAGCGUGGGUAGCGAAAGGGAUUAGAUACCCCUGUAGUCC
rnacentral:rRNA from 1 species